AGUGAACGCUGGCGGUAGGCCUAACACAUGCAAGUCGAACGGCAGCACAGUAAGAGCUUGCUCUUACGGGUGGCGAGUGGCGGACGGGUGAGGAAUACAUCGGAAUCUACUUUUUCGUGGGGGAUAACGUAGGGAAACUUACGCUAAUACCGCAUACGACCUACGGGUGAAAGCAGGGGAUCUUCGGACCUUGCGCGAUUGAAUGAGCCGAUGUCGGAUUAGCUAGUUGGCGGGGUAAAGGCCCACCAAGGCGACGAUCCGUAGCUGGUCUGAGAGGAUGAUCGGCCACACUGGAGCUGGGACACGGUCCAGACUCCUGCGGGAGGCAGCAGUGGGGAAUAUUGGACAAUGGUCGCGAGCCUGAUCCAGCCAUACCGCGUGGGUGAAGGAGGCCUUCGGGUUGUAAAGCCCUUUUGUUGGGAAAGAAAAGCAGCAGGUUAAUACCCCGCUGUUCUGACGGUACCCAAAGAAUAAGCACCGGCUAACUUCGUG
rnacentral:rRNA from 1 species